rnacentral:rRNA from 1 species
UACGGGGGGGGCAAGCGUUGUUCGGAAUUACUGGGCGUAAAGGGCGCGUAGGCGGCCUGCUAAGUCGGAUGUGAAAUCCCUCGGCUCAACCGAGAAACUGCAUCCGAUACUGGCGGGCUUGAAUCCGGGAGAGGGAUGUGGAAUUCCAGGUGUAGCGGUGAAAUGCGUAGAUAUCUGGAGGAACACCGGUGGCGAAGGCGGCAUCCUGGACCGGUAUUGACGCUGAGGCGCGAAAGCUAGGGGAGCAAACGGG